rnacentral:rRNA from 1 species
CGCGUAGGCGGGAUGGCAAGUCAGUCGUGAAAUCUCUCGGCUCAACCCGAGAAACGUCGGCUGAUACUGCCGUUCUUGAGGGAUGCAGAGGAGACUGGAAUUCCCGGUGUAGCGGUGAAAUGUGUAGAGAUCGGGAGGAACACCGGUGGCGAAGGCGGGUCUCUGGGCAUUUCCUGACGCUGAGGCGCGAAAGCGUGGGGAGCAAACG